rnacentral:rRNA from 1 species
UACGUAGGGUGCGAGCGUUGUCCGGAAUUAUUGGGCGUAAAGAGCUCGUAGGCGGUGUGUCACGUCGGCCGUGAAAACCUGCAGCUUAACUGUGGGCGUGCGGUCGAUACGGGCAUCACUGGAGUUCGGCAGGGGAGAGCUGGAAGUUCCUGGUGUAGCGGUGAAAUGCGCAGAUAUCAGGAGGAACACCGGUGGCGAAGGCGGGUCUCUGGGCCGAUACUGACGCUGAGGAGCGAAAGCGUGGGGAGCGAACAGG